rnacentral:rRNA from 1 species
CCCUACGGGGGGCAGCAGUGGGGAAUAUUGGACAAUGGGGGCAACCCUGAUCCAGCAAUGCCGCGUGUGUGAAGAAGGCCUGCGGGUUGUAAAGCACUUUCAGUAGGGAAGAAAAGCUCGGGACUAAUACUCUCGGGUCUUGACGUUACCUAAAGAAGAAGCACCGGCUAACUCCGUGCCAGCAGCCGCGGUAAUACGGAGGGUGCGAGCGUUAAUCGGAAUUACUGGGCGUAAAGCGCACGUAGGCGGUCGGAUAAGUCGGAUGUGAAAGCCCUGGGCUUAACCUGGGAACUGCAUUCGAUACUGUCUGGCUAGAGUAUGGGAGAGGGAAGCGGAAUUUCCGGUGUAGCGGUGAAAUGCGUAGAUAUCGGAAGGAACAUCAAUGGCGAAGGCAGCUUCCUGGCCCAAUACUGACGCUCAGGUGCGAAAGCGUGGGGAUCAAACAGGAUUAGAUACCCUUGUAGUC